CUCAGUUGCUCUGUUAAACAGCAAAAUUCCCAAGUCCUCAUCUCAAUGAGCCACUGAGGCCGAUGAAGAGGGCCUGUCUCAUUUAGGACAUGAGUGGCCAGGCGGGUGCCACAGGCCCUUUUCCUGGUGACAACAAAGCCAUUGCAUGGCUCCAGGAAGGCCACAUCAUUUCCUGGGUUUCGUAGGCGCCUGCGGGGCGGAAACAGUUCAGCAGGGCCCUCCUGAUCACAAGGACGAGGUCAUACCGGCUGCUGCAUGGCAGGGCUGCACUCUGCCAGGGAGCGUCCUGUGAUGGAGGGGCUGCACUGCCACUUUACUGAUGAGGAAAUUAAGGUUCAGAGAGAUGAGGUCAUUUCUUAGAGGCCAGACAGCCUCCUCAGCCCAUUUAUAAGGUUGUUUCUGUGGUAUUUGCCAUAAAGCCAUAGGUUCAUUGAUUUGUUCUUAAGUAGUUCUGAGCCCUUCCUGCAUAUCAGGCAGGGACAAACAGGAAAGUCCCUGCCUUUGGCAAGUGCGGGGGAAAUGAAAUGAUUCUGCUUAGCCGCAUCCAUUGGUCUGAACAAUCACGUCUCAUGACCGCAGGGACGCGGCUUCCCCUGAAUGCGGAUCCUAGAGGCCAGGCAGAAGCAGCAUGGGUUUCCACUCACACGGUUGACUCACAGUUUGGAGCAAGAAUUAAAGAACCACGAACUUCAAGAGCUGCGGAGGAGCCGCUUCUACAUCAGGACAUCAGAAGCUGGAACAGGAUGACCGGCAAGGGGCCUCUGGUUGGGGUCACAGAGAUGGGUCGCAGAGAUGGCCCGUGUGGAAGGUGAUGUAAAAUUCUCAAACAAUGAGAUAGAUAAAAAGUACGCAGCCAAAAAGUUCAAGAAGAAGUGUUAUGGAGAUGGAGCAGGCCCUUCGUAAAAACACGAUGUUGGUUUUCUGGAUUUUGUAUGUUUGCUUUUUUUUUUUCCUCAUCCUAAAGAAAUAUUCACUGUCAUACCUAAUU
rnacentral:lncRNA from 10 species